rnacentral:rRNA from 1 species
CGAAGCCCGUGAGGUAACCGUAAGGAGCCAGCGGUCGAAGGUGGGAUUGGUGAUUGGGGUGAAGUCGUAACAAGGUAGCCGUAGGAGAACCUGCGGCUGGAUCACCUCCUUUCUAGGGAGAAUGGAA